CGCUGGCGGCGUGCUUAACACAUGCAAGUCGAACGGUAAGGCCCUUCGGGGUACACGAGUGGCGAACGGGUGAGUAACACGUGGGUGAUCUGCCCUGCACUUCGGGAUAAGCCUGGGAAACUGGGUCUAAUACCGGAUAGGACCAUGGACUUCACGGUUUGUGGUGGAAAGCUUUUGCGGUGUGGGAUGGGCCCGCGGCCUAUCAGCUUGUUGGUGGGGUAAUGGCCUACCAAGGCGACGACGGGUAGCCGGCCUGAGAGGGUGUCCGGCCACACUGGGACUGAGAUACGGCCCAGACUCCUACGGGAGGCAGCAGUGGGGAAUAUUGCACAAUGGGCGCAAGCCUGAUGCAGCGACGCCGCGCGAGGGAUGACGGCCUUCGGGUUGUAAACCUCUUUCAAUAGGGACGAAGCGCAAGUGACGGUACCUAUAGAAGAAGCACCGGCCAACUACGUG
rnacentral:rRNA from 1 species